CUAUCGAAGAAAAACAAGACAGAAAACUUCAACGCCGGGCCAUAAGGGAUGCAUGCAACCCGUUUGAUAAGCCCGACGGGGAGUUAUGGCGCAUAUAUAGGGUGCGGAAAGAAUUAGCACUCUAUGUGUGCUGAACUUGACGCCGACCUCAAGCCUCAACAUGGCGAUGGAUUGCCGGCACAUCUUAAAGUUUUAACAUCACUGCACCUAUUGGCUGACGGUAGUUACUAACGGGGAACUGGACAAGACCAUGGCUUGUCCAUUGCUCAGUCUACCGUCAGCCGGUACUUGGAUCAAUUUGUAAUUGUGGUGAAUAGAAGACUCAAGGACACUUGGAUAGUCUUCCCAGAAAAUUAGAGGUGUUCAGGAGGCAUAUGGGGUUGCUAACAUUUUAGGCACAGUAGACUGCACCCAAGUAAAAAUAUUUCCAUAACCUUUACCGCAUGGCGUACAGUUUCUAAACAGAAAAGGAAUUCAUUCGCUAAACGUUCAGUUGGUAUGUAAUAACUGCAAAAUCAUAAUUAGAAAUUUUAGAAUAAAUCGAAUGGAUGGACAGAAUCGAUAUUUUCUUGUAAACCGUAAGAUCGCCAAAGUAAUCCCUGACAACACCAAUGGGGAUUACUUUGAAUCGGGAUUAGUACGUUUUGUUACAACUCAUCAUUUUGCUAAAUCGGAUACAAAUAGGUAGUCAAAUACUAUUUUGUAAUUUCUAAAAUAUUAAGAGAUUACAUAUACAUAUAACCGUUGUUAUAAUAUUUUAAGUAUAAAUAUUUGUGAAAUGUUUGACGUUUUCCGCGAUUAGGUACAUAGAUACCCAGAGUCGUUCCAUGCAAGUCACCUGUUAGUUUUACGUGAUGUAUCUGCAAAAUUGCAUGGACAUUGGACACUUUAUGAAUAAAUUAAAUUUAGGUUUACCUACCAUGUUUAGGGCUCCACUCCUCAAAUUUGCUCUGCGGUGACCGAACACAUACCCAUGUACAUGGAUUUUUUUAAAUGGGAGACUGGGGGCAGCUGCCUACCAUAUCCAUUGAAAAAGUAUUGUACCUACGUUGGUUGCUCUUAAAGACUAAGAAUUGUUAUUAGAGAAAAGUGGUU